GACGAACGCUGGCGGCGUGCUUAACACAUGCAAGUCGAACGAGAAUCUACUGAAGGAGGAUUCGUCCAACGGAAGUAGAGGAAAGUGGCGAACGGGUGAGUAACGCGUGAGGAACCUGCCUCAAAGAGGGGGACAACAGUUGGAAACGACUGCUAAUACCGCAUAAGCCCACGGGUCGGCAUCGACCAGAGGGAAAAGGAGCAAUCCGCUUUGAGAUGGCCUCGCGUCCGAUUAGCUAGUUGGUGAGGUAAUGGCCCACCAAGGCGACGAUCGGUAGCCGGACUGAGAGGUUGAACGGCCACAUUGGGACUGAGACACGGCCCAGACUCCUACGGGAGGCAGCAGUGGGGGAAUAUUGCACAAUGGGGGAAACCCUGAUGCAGCGACGCCGCGUGGAGGAAGAAGGUCUUCGGGAUUGUAAACUCCUGUUGUUGAGGAAGAUAAAUGACGGGUACUUCAACAAGGGAAGUGACGGGCUAACUACGUG
rnacentral:rRNA from 1 species